AAAGCUUAGGGAGCUACCAUUUGAUUUUUAUGGGGGGGCUAGGAUGAAAAAUUUUGUCCUGCAUUUUUUUUUAGCUGUAAUCUCUGUCCUGCCUUUUUUUUUUUCACUCUAAUUGGUCCUGCCUUUUUUUUUUUAGUUUAUCCUGACUUUUUUUUACCUAAAUUGUCGUCCUGACUUUUUUUUUUUGCAAGUGUCACAUCCUGCCUUUUUUUUUACUCAAAACUCCUGUCCUGCCUAUUUUUUUCAAAUUUCAUCCUAGCCCCCCCAUAAAAAUCAAAUGGUAGCUCCCUUACCUGUA
rnacentral:lncRNA from 1 species